AGCAGAGAGAUAACAGCUGUCCCUGUCCAAAUCCAGCACAGCAUCCCUCCAGUGGUUUUUGCUGCCAUGAAGACCCAAUACAGAUGAGGACCAUGUUGGUGAGAAAGGGACCAAUGGGAGCUUUUCUCCCCUUCCCAAACAGCACCCACAGGGGCCCAAACCAGAUCUGAAUCAUGGAGAGGCCAAAGGUUUUAGGCCCAAUUAUAUCAAGCCCGUGGCAGUCUUGGACACAAAGUGCUACACACAGAGAGAUGUACACAAAUUCCCCAAAUGGCCAUUUUUAGGACACCAGGGUUCUGUGCAGUCCUGGAGAGCUCCCAAGAUCAGAAACCUGCAAGGCAAGAUUGUAUAGAACGAUCAUCUAGCAUUCUGGUUAAUCACCUUUGAAAGCAAGUCACCUUUGAAACCCUAUGGCCCAGAUGCCCAAGAGGAUCCAAAAUAUACUUCUGCUGAAGGGAAAGCAGACCUCAUCAUUCCAUCCCCCGAGGAGACCUCACCAAAGCAUGGUGAUCACCAUGUCCAGGUUCAUCCACUGAGUCACUGUCUCCUCCGCUUCAGAUAUGCAGGCCUGUAUUAUCAAGACAAGGCCUUUCCAUUUGGACUAUCCUCAGUGCCAAGGAUUUUCACUAGGGAUGUGCAGAACUGGUCCGGCGGUCCGCAGUCCGAUGAUUGGGUCUGAGGGUUCAGGGGUUUCGUGAUCGAACCAAAACACACACAAACACACCCGAGUUCUGUCCAGACCGGAACCAAACUGCCGGUCCAGUCCGGCAGGUCCACAAACUUUUUAAAAAAUUUAAAUGAAAAGUAACUACCUGUAGCCUCUUCGGGGGGCUUGCUGUAGCCACGGGGGGUGGAGUCCACGAGGGUU